ACGUAGGUGGCGAGCGUUGUCCGGAAUUAUUGGGCGUAAAGCGCGCGCAGGUGGUUAUGUAAGUCUCAUUUAAAAGUGCUGAGCUUAACUCAGUGAUGGGUGAGAAACUGCAUGACUUGAGUGCAGAAGGGGUAGGCGGAAUUCCUAGUGUAGCGGUGAAAGGCGUAGAUAUGAGAAGGAACACCAGUGGCGAAGGCGGCAUACGGGACUGCAACUCACUCUGAUGCGCGAAAGCUAGGUGCGCAAACGG
rnacentral:rRNA from 1 species